rnacentral:lncRNA from 1 species
AUGUCCCCGCUUUGGUCAAACAUGAAUAAAAGUAAGUCGUUUAUGAAAAGCGAAGUGGAAAAGGAGUCGAUUGCCUUAUUCAAAAAUAACUUACUAAGAGAGAGUUAUGAAUGGUUUAAAAAUGUAGAAUAUUUUGUAAAAGUAAAAGAUGAUAAGAAAUAUAAAAAUGGUUUAGGUGAUAAUACAGAUAUUAAGAAUAAAAUAACAGGUAGGGUACAAUUAGGAUGGGGUGGAACAUUUUUUUUAUUGUGUUGUGUAGUAGUAAUAUGUGACAAUUCAGGAUGGCAAUCAUGUAAUUAUUAUGACAAUAAUAUAUUUUAUUCUCCUGAAGCAUUAACUAUUGUAUAUGCAGGUUUAUAUAUAUUUUAUGCAUUUCCAUUAUUUGUAUUUCAACAUUGUCUUGGUUUAUUAUCUCAAGGAAAUUUUUUAAGAUCUUGUAGAAUGGUUACACCAUAUAUGGAUUUUUUAAUUGCAUUUACUUUAUUUGGUAUUAUAACAUUUUGUGCUAAUUGCAUAUGUAAUUUUUCAUUAGAAUUUUUUCAAAAUAUACUUAGAUUUACAAAAAAAAAAGAGAUGGAUUACGGAUUAAAUAAACUAUUUAUUGAUUUGACAAUGGAUAAAAUAAAAUGUAAUUUAAUACCUAAUGCAGUGUAUAUGGAAAAUAUGAAACAAUGUGUAGUAGUAGAUAAAAAUGUAGCAACUAAUUUUUAUGAAAAUAUUUGGUUUAUUGGAAAUAAAGAAAAUUAUAUAUAUUUGAUAGGUAUAUCUUUUAUUUUUUUAUGUUUAUGUUAUGUUUUAUUAAUAGAAGGAGAUGUUAGAGUAUUCCGUUUUUUUAUUUUUGUUCUUAUUAUUAAUUGGAUAACAACUAAGUCUAUUGUUAUAAUUAAUUCGUUAUAUAUAUAUGUACCACGUAAUAUAAAAAUAUAUGAUGAAUUAAUAAAUAUAAUAAAAGAAAUAGGUAUAUUAAAAUUAAUUUUAUUUAUUUAUGGUACAUUAGCAAGAAGCUCCUCUAUAUUUAUUUUAAGUACUUUUGCUUCAUAUUUUCAUACAGAUAUUAAUAUAAUAAAAAUUAAUAUAUAUAAUUUUAUUUUUUACAUUCUUAACAUGUAUUUUUAUUUAAAAAAUGAAUUGAAUGAAUAUUUAAAAACUGGUAGUAAAUCACCUCCUGUUAAAGAUAAUUUCAGUUUUAUAAAAUGUAAUAUGUAUUUAAAUAUGUUACCAAAUCUUGUAAACAAAAAUGAAUCAUUUAUAUCUUCUAUAUUUUCUGAAAAAGAAGUUAAUGGCAAUGCAUAUAAUGUAUGGCAAAAAUUAUGUCUAUUUUUUAGUUCCUAUACAUUUCUUUUUGCAACUAUAUUUAAUGUUAUUAUGCAAUUAUUUGGACCUAUUACUAUAGUAAAUGAUGUAACAAGUUAUGAAUACGAAUCAGAUCGUGAAGAAACAAAAAUAUAUACAUACAAAUCAUUAGUUAAAGCUUAUGGAAAAUGUAAUUUAAAAAUUAAUUCUAAUAAUAAAAAAUCAUAUACAUCUUCUUUUCAGUCACAAAAAACUAAAGCAAAUUUAAAAAAAUCUAACAAUUAUUUUAUUUCUGAUGAAGAUUUUAUAGUAGAAAAUGAUACAAUGAUAAAAAAAAAAAAAAUCAACAAAUUAGAGGAACAAGAUAGUUAUUGUAUUAGUAGUUCUUUUAAUCAAAUGGAUAUCAACAAUUGGCAAUUAAAUACAGUAGAUACUAUUGAAAAUAACAAAUGUAACAAUAAAUAUAACAGUGCUAAUGAACAUGUUAAAAAAAAAAAUUACCCAUAUACACAGUUGGAUACUGUAAAACAAAGAAAACAAUUUUUAAAAAACAAAACAGUCAGUUUUAAAAAUGUUAACAGAAACGGUAGUAACAGUAGUGGCAGUAACAGUAGCGGUAGUAACAGAAAC